GAAAUCUUUCCUGUUUGUGCUAAGAGCAUUUGUCCCUUGUUAUACACAUAACACAUAUACAACCUCCCCUACACCCAACACACACACAGCACAUCCAAAUCCAACACACCACACACACAUACACAUAUGUACACAUCCAAAACACAUUGACACCACACAGACUCCACACACCACACACACUCAACCCCUCCCCACAAACUCUAAACCUCCACUAUAUCCCCAACACAUGCACCACACCACACACAAACUCAACACACCAAACACACAUACACAUAUAAACACACAUACCCACACCCAACACACACACACCCAGCACAUAUACACACCACACACCCUCUACACACCACACACAAACCUCCAAAUAUACCCAACACACACACCAACCCAAUGCAUUACACACACAUAUACAAAUAUACACACACUCAGCACACACACCCAACACACGCUGACAUCCCACACACUCCACAACAGACUGCACACACAACCCCCCCAUAUACACAACUAACACGUACACACACACCAUACCACAUGUAUCCACCACACAUGUACACAUGUGCACACACACACCACACGUGUGUGCCCACUCACAGCCGGAUGGGGAAAAGCAGGCACAGCCAGUCAGGGGUGAGCAGCUGAAGAACCCUGAUGGGAGCAGGUAGCCUGGAGGGACGUGGGGUUAACUCUUUCCAAAUAAGGAGCUUUCCAAACUGCCAUUUCCGUAUUCUAAGGCUUGACAGCUUUUGAAAGGAUGAAAAGAGCGUGUAUUUUCCAGAAAUCCUUCAUGUGACUAUUUGCUUCAUUUCAAUGCCUCAGAACACCACCAACAAAAAACCCACUCACACCCUUGCUGGUGGUUGCUACAGUGCAAUUGGCUGCAGGCUUUUGUUUAGAAGUUUGCAGCAGUCCGGGAAGGAGGUUUUCUUCCUCCCGGAGCUGAGAAGGCCUGUCUUCAGCACCAACGUGUCUUCUGGCCUUGCCAAUAAAGAAGUAAGAAGCCACUGUGAAAAAACCAUCAUUCUCAACAAUAGGCCAAUAAACGGUUGGCAGAAAUGCCAUGCGCGCCCCUCCGAGGACGGGGCAGCGUGUUUGAAGAGUCACCAUGGUAGUGAUAUUUUAUGAGCAUGAGUCACUUGUCUGUUUUUCAGGGAGCGCUUUGCUCGGCCCAUCUCUUUUAGUACAUUUCCAUUUGGUGUGGUUUG
rnacentral:lncRNA from 1 species